UACGUAGGGUGCGAGCGUUAAUCGGAAUUACUGGGCGUAAAGCGCGUGUAGGCGGCCAGGUAGGUCGGUUGUGAAAACUGGAGGCUUAACCUCCAGACGUCGACCGAAACCAUCUGGCUAGAGUCCGGAAGAGGAGAGUGGAAUUCCUGGUGUAGCGGUGAAAUGCGCAGAUAUCAGGAAGAACACCCGUGGCUAAGGCGGCUCUCUAGUACGGUACUGACGCUGAGACGCGAAAGCGUGGGGAGCGAACAGU
rnacentral:rRNA from 1 species